GCACUGUCAUGAUGUUUUUGUUUUGACAGAAAUCCUCCACAUUUCAUUUUCUGAGCAGCUCAGACAUUCUGUCUAACAUCUCAUUUUGUAUUUCACAGAAGGAAGAUAACACAAGGGCAGAACCACAUGAGGAUCACCAAAGGUGCCACAAAAGAAGAAGAUUGGAUUGUUGUGCUGGCCAGUAAAACUAAAUCUGCACCUGCUGAUGAGCAUGUUAAAACCUUGAUGUGAUGCCAGUUCUGAAAGCGUCCCUCAUCUGAUGCAAGAGCAGGAGAUGCCAGCAUCCCACCUGAAUCUGAGCAGUCUCAGCGAGAAGCUCCUGUCUAAUUAGCACGCUCUGUUGAGUAACGCCUCACUGCGCUGAUUUGGCAUGCGGCGUGAGGUUCAGUCUCUCCAAAGAGUUGCUGUUCUCCUCGUCUAGAACAUGAUCGAAGUUCAAGAUGAACAUCAUCACAACUCCUUCCUGGUUCUUCACUGGGAUGAUACCCUCCUCGUGGUCAGAGUCAGAGCCAGCAGGAGUCAAACACACUAGCUCCUCUUCCACAGCGCUGAAGCUCAUACAGGACACAAGCAGGGGAUCGUCUGGGGAUCGUCUUGAACAUGCUGCGCUAAACAUUUCCCGCAUCCUGAGCAGUACAUAAACGUCUCCAGCACCAGCAGGUAUCAUUAAUACUUCCAAAACAACACCGGCAAGAAAAAUGGAUCAAAUGAGGUGUGGAAUAUUCUGGGCAACUCUGCUCAAAUGUAAUUGAAUCUAAAUGUUCAAUAUAACCGGAUGAGCAUGCAGAGGGGAAAUAGCUCGGAAAAUCCUCUGAACAUGAAGAACAUCACGUCCUGUCAAUGAGAAGAUACGAUCACAAAAUGAUUUCAGCCAUUUGCUAAUAUAUCAAACUGACAAUAGCCUGUAUGUAAAACUGAGUGUGCAGCUUAUUAAAGUGAAGCAUUCGCCUGUUUUACACCGCACACAAUUUCAGUCAGAUUUACUGAAUAGAAAGUGGUGUUUAUGUGUGUUUUAGUAAUGGACAGAUGGAAAAACUUGGUAGCAAAAUCAACCAAUGAAUUUUCCAUAUUUUUUUCCAUUCAAUUGUGAUUACCGGAUAAGAAUUUUUACAAAUAUAUAUUUUUUUAGAAAUUGUGCACAUACAGUGGUUUCUAGAUAAUGUAAAGUUAAAAAAGAAAUUCUAGAACAGGAAUAAUUAGCUAUAAA